GAUCCCUCCCCUGGGGCAGGGCAGGGGGAGACGGCAGGGGCCACUGGGCGCUGAUGGCCAGCCAGGGAAGGUAACAGGUGGUGCUAUGGUCCACGCCCUGCUUCCCCCUUGAGCUUCAGGCCAACCCUGCUCCUGCCCUGGUCACAGCGCUAGAAAACGUCCGCCCUCCCAGGAGGGAGAUGAAGGUACAAGAUGAAGCAAGGAGCAGUCAGAGGAAGAGAGAAGGACACUGGGUUCUAGAUUUCCCCAGUGAAAUCUAGAAUCUCCAGACACUUUGUAGCUGCCUGACCUUGGACAGGGUCUCACUCUGUUGCCCAGGCUGGAGUGCAGUGGUGUGACCAUCGGGGUUGGAGUGUUUCCAAGCAUGAAGGGGAACUGAGAACUGUGGGAAUGGGCCUUGUGUAGUGCAGGGUGGGCCGGGCCUGGUGGGAGGGGGCCUGCUCCCGGGAGCUCAGACUGAUGGGGUCCUGGGGUGAAG
rnacentral:lncRNA from 1 species